AUACAUCGGAACGUGUCCUAAAGUGGGGGAUAACGCAUCGAAAGAUGUGCCAAUACCGCAUAAUCUCUGAGGAGAAAAGUAGGGGAUCGAAAGACCUUAUGCUUUUGGAGCGGCUGAUGUCUGAUUAGCUAGUUGGUAAGGUAAUGGCUUACCAAGGCGACGAUCAGUAGUUGGUCUGAGAGGACGACCAGCCACACUGGGACUGAGACACGGCCCAGACUCCUACGGGAGGCAGCAGUGGGGAAUUUUGGACAAUGGGCGCAAGCCUGAUCCAGCAAUGCCGCGUGAGUGAAGAAGGCCUUCGGGUUGUAAAGCUCUUUCAGUUGAAAAGAAAAAGUCGUGACUAAUAAUCAUGGCUCAUGACGGUAUCAACAGAAGAAGCACCGGCUAACUACGUGCCAGCAGCCGCGGUAAUACGUAGGGUGCAAGCGUUAAUCGGAAUUACUGGGCGUAAAGGGUGCGCAGGCGGUUCUGUAAGUCAGAUGUGAAAUCCCCGGGCUUAACCUGGGAACUGCGUUUGAAACUGCAGAGCUAGAGUGCGGCAGAGGGAGGUGGAAUUCCAUGUGUAGCAGUGAAAUGCGUAGAGAUAUGGAAGAACAUCGAUGGCGAAGGCAACCUCCUGGGCUAGCACUGACGCUCAUGCACGAAAGCGUGGGGAGCAAACAGGAUUAGACACCCUGGUAGUCCACGCCCUAAACUAUGUCAACUAGUUGUCGGGUCUUAAUAGACUCGGUAACGUAGCUAACGCGUGAAGUUGACCGCCUGGGGAGUACGGUCGCAAGAUUAAAACUCAAAGGAAUUGACGGGGACCCGCACAAGCGGUGGAUUAUGUGGAUUAAUU
rnacentral:rRNA from 1 species